AUGUGGAUGCAGGCGCUGCGGGCGGUGGCUUUACCCGCUCCCCCACAGCGCCGGCCCCUCCUGGGAGCCUUUCCCCGUGGGAUCCAGCUGUCUGCUGCCAUGCCUGGGAAAGCAGAGGGAGACGGCCCAAGGACUCAGGCCCCUGAACCCAGAGUGGAGCACCGGAUACAGUCCCGGGCUUCUGCUUCGGCCUGGCCCGGUCCCGGCCUUAGUAGCCACCUGGGGGUUGAACCCCCAGAGGGACGAUCCGUGAGAGAGAGCAAGAGGCAAGAAGGGCUCGCGAUGCCCGGUGCUCUGCUUCUCUCCCCAAGCAGCUCCAACGGCCAGCGCCGGGCCAGGCAGAAGCCAGGAGGCUUGACCUCCAUUCAGGGCGCCCAGGAGGCCGGGAGGCGUGGUCCCUGGGUCACAGGCUGGAGAGGCCGCCCCGCCUGCAGCCCUGGGGCUUCGGACGCUGGACGCGGCAGGCAGCGCGGAGGUGCGUCCCGCGGCGCCACGGCGGCCGCCCAUGGGGAGUGCGCCUGCGCCCGGCGCUGUGCCCCGGAAGUGGCCCCUUGUGCCCCGGAAGUGGCCCCUUGUGGCCCGCGGCGCUCAGGUAGGAGUCCUCGCGGGUCCCGUCCGCUGCUGCCGGAGAGCCCGCGCGAGCCGUCGGGAGCCGUCCUGGACGCUGCCGGCGGAGCCUGCGGGAGACCCAGCGCCCCCGGGGUCAGGCCGGGCUCAGAGAGGCUGCGGCCCGAGGCUGCCGCGCCGUUUCCCGGGCGCGGUUCUCUUCUUCGGCCCUUCGUGGAAGCAGCGGCCUUCGCGGGCCCCUGUGCCGCCAGCAGACCGGGCCCCCUUGGCGCAUUCAGCGUCGUGGAGUUCUUUGUUGGAACAUGUGCUGAGCACUGGCGCCAAGCCUUCGAACAAGGAGGUGAGCAGCCAAGAGCAACACCUGCAGGAAGGGCCGGGCUGCUGGUGUCGGAGGAGUGGCAGUAGGUUCAACAGGACCCUCAGACUGGCAGAGGACAGUGCAGCAGCCAACACACAAAACUACAAUUUGCACAUGGCUAAAGUCCGUGGUUAUCUUACAGCAUCCUGGGCACUUGACAUCCGUGAAGUGGGAAUUGGGUCUCUGCAGCAGGUGCUGCUUCUUGCAUUUCCUGUUCAUUUCUGUAGAGAGAUGGAGGAGCUCCUUUGCUUGAG
rnacentral:lncRNA from 1 species